rnacentral:rRNA from 1 species
UGCAGUCGAACGGCAGCACGGAGCUUGCUCUGGUGGCGAGUGGCGAACGGGUGAGUAAUAUAUCGGAACGUACCCUAGAGUGGGGGAUAACGUAGCGAAAGUUACGCUAAUACCGCAUACGAUCUACGGAUGAAAGUGGGGGCAUCGCAAGACCUCAUGCUCGUGGAGCGGCCGAUAUCUGAUUAGCUAGUUGGCGGGGUAAAAGCCCACCAAGGCAUCGAUCAGUAGCUGGUCUGAGAGGACGACCAGCCACACUGGAACUGAGACACGGUCCAGACUCCUACGGGAGGCAGCAGUGGGGAAUUUUGGACAAUGGGCGCAAGCCUGAUCCAGCAAUGCCGCGUGAGUGAAGAAGGCCUUCGGGUUGUAAAGCUCUUUUGUCAGGGAAGAAACGGUUCUCUCUAAUACAGGGGGCUAAUGACGGUACCUGAAGAAUAAGCACCGGCUAACUACGUGCCAGCAGCCGCGGUAAUACGUAGGGUGCAAGCGUUAAUCGGAAUUACUGGGCGUAAAGCGUGCGCAGGCGGUUAUGUAAGACAGAUGUGAAAUGCCCGGGCUCAACCUGGGAACUGCAUUUGUGACUGCAUGGCUAGAGUGUGUCAGAGGGGGGUAGAAUUCCACGUGUAGCAGUGAAAUGCGUAGAUAUGUGGAGGAAUACCGAUGGCGAAGGCAGCCCCCUGGGAUAACACUGACGCUCAUGCACGAAAGCGUGUGGAGCAAACAGGAUUAGAUACCCUGGUAGUCCACGCCCUAAACGAUGUCUACUAGUUGUCGGGUCUUAAUUGACUUGGUAACGCAGCUAACGCGUGAAGUAGACCGCCUGGGGAGUACGGUCGCAAGAUUAAAACUCAAAGGAAUUGACGGGGACCCGCACAAGCGGUGGAUGAUGUGCAUUAAUUCGAUGCAACGCGAAAAACCUUACCUACCCUUGACAUGGCAGGAAUCCCGAAAAGAUUUGGGAGUGCUCGAAAGAGACCUGCACACAGGUGCUGCAUGGCUGUCGUCAGCUCGUGUCGUGAGA